UUGUGAGUGUGUGUGUGUGUGGACAAGGAUAAGGUUAGGUGGGAUUUACCCUGGAUAACCUUAGCCGGCUUAGUGCAGAAGGGGCCUAAGUUGUGAAAUCAAGCAGAACUGUACGUUAUACAUGUGGGCGAGCUCACACGGCUACUGUAACACAACGUUGACCAAAAAACUCAUCCGCCUGUACAUCAUUACUAGUGAUUCAGUAAACACAAGUAAGAAUCCUUACCUUUCUGGGUGUAAAGGUAAGCUCGUACAAAAGCGGCGCCACCCUUUUCCAAGUGAAGUUGGGCUUGUUUCACGUAUCCAACUCUUGAAAACUAAAGUGUCAGGUUUCAGGAAGGUGUGUCUUGUCUGCUCGAGUCAUCUCAGACAGCGUGUCGCCCGUGGUCGCUGCUCUGCGGGGCUCUCCCGCCUUGGAUCGAUAUCCCGCUGACCUUCAGGUCGAACACGGCCGCGCCGCCGCCGAGACCCACCGCCGUCGCCAUCAGGAGCGCUGACACACGGCGACACCCCUCCUCCUUGCAGGCAUUCAGGCUCCCCCACCCAGCCACUUUCAGAGGUUUAUGUCUGGCAGUUGUGGGACUGCUCCAGCGUAACCGCCCCCACCUUCUCCCAAGAGCAACAAACUGAUCCCUGGUCACACUUUAGAAGCUGUCAGCUCAAGCAUGCUCCUCUGCCGACAGGUGAGGAAUGUUUCCAUUCACCUCUCCGUCUCUCUGCGGGCGCACAAACACACACACACACACACACACAUUUUCAAGAUGGAGAUGAAAAGAUGAAAAGGCGGUGACAGCAGAAGACAGAAGAUGAGAGGAGCGAGGAGAGUGGGAAACACGAUCAGUCAUCGCCGUCCCUCCUGGUUGCCCAGGCGACCUCCUGCUCACUUUUAGUCACACCUGACGGAGAUAAUUGCAUUUUCAAGGCUAAUUCCUGCACGUGUUUAUCCAUGUUGACUUCUGAAUUAGCCCCAGUUCAUCAGCUUAUAGCAAAGGUGUCCAAAGUGCGGCCUGCAGCUCUUUUUUUUUUUAACCCCCGCCUUGUCUUUUAUGAGUGGGACCCUUUUGGAUCCCCGAGA